rnacentral:rRNA from 1 species
CAAGGAUUCCCCUAGUAACGGCGAGUGAAGCGGGAUGAGCUCAAAUUUGUAAUCUGGCGGCCUCUGGUCGUCCGAGUUGUAGUCUGGAGAAGCGUUUUCCGCGUCGGACCGUGUACAAGUCCCUUGGAACAGGGCGUCGUAGAGGGUGAGAAUCCCGUCUUUGACACGGACUGCCGAUGCUUUGUGAUGCGCUCUCGAAGAGUCGAGUUGUUUGGGAAUGCAGCUCAAAACGGGUGGUAAAUUCCAUCUAAAGCUAAAUAUGGGCGAAAGACCGAUAGCGAACAAGUACCGUGAGGGAAAGAUGAAAAGCACUUUGGAAAGAGAGUUAAACAGUACGUGAAAUUGUUGAAAGGGAAACGCUUGAAGUCAGUCGCGUCUCCUGGGACUCAGCCUUGCUUCUGCUUGGUGUACUUCCUGGGACGACGGGCCAGCAUCGAUUUUGAUCGUCGGAGAAAGGCCUUGGGAACGUGGCACCUUUGGGUGUGUUAUAGCCCUCGGUCGUAUGCGACGGUUGGGAUCGAGGACCGCAGCACGCCUUUUUGGCCGGGGUUCGCCCACGUACGUGCUUAGGAUGCUGGCGUAAUGGCUUUAAGCGACCCGUCUUGAAACCACGGACCACCC